rnacentral:rRNA from 1 species
UACGAAGGGGGCUAGCGUUGUUCGGAGUUACUGGGCGUAAAGGGCGCGUAGGCGGCGCACCAAGUCAGGCGUGAAAGCCCUGGGCUCAACCCGGGAAUUGCGCUUGAGACUGGUGUGCUUGAGUACGGGAGAGGAUAGUGGAAUUCCCAGUGUAGAGGUGAAAUUCGUAGAUAUUGGGAAGAACACCGGUGGCGAAGGCGGCUAUCUGGACCGUAACUGACGCUGAGGCGCGAAAGCGAGGGGAGCAAACGGG